rnacentral:lncRNA from 1 species
GUUUAGUGGUAAUUAUCAUUUUAAGUUACAAUUCUGCUAGAGGGCGCUUGCGGGGAAGGCAGGUUAGGGGAGAGAGGCGGCCAUAAGGCUAUGAAUCUGAGUGGGGCAAGCGCCCGUCACCUGACUGCGGCCGGACUCCACGCGCAGCGCACGGCGGGAGCGCGGGCCGUCACUGACCACGUACUGAGCCGGCUCCCCGCACACGUGCGGAUGCCGCUGGAGGAGGCGCAGGCGCAGGCGCAGGCGCAGCACGUUGUAGUCGUGGCCCGGAGAUCAUUUGCACGUGAGGCACCACUGAGUUUCUUGCGGGUGUGGAGCAGCUCCUUCGGGUUUUUUCCUUGCGCGAAAUGCGGCGCUGCAGCUUGUCCGCGUCCUGGGCCAGCCCCUGGCCCCGAGGACUUCGGUGCCCAGGUGGCUCUGGUACCUGCGAAUCAGGGGUCUGUGCAGCUUCCUUCGGGUCUCCAGGUGAUGUGAUGAUCCAGUUAUGCUUCUAACCUGCUGAAAUAGAUCAACAAAAGGAACCAAGGACCAUGAUAAAGGUCAAAAGAAAACAAUCCUCUGUCUUCUUGUGACAGUAAACCUUGAAUACAGACUCUGGUAUUUAUCACUGUUUUUCUCAAUGUAGUCCUUCUCUCUUCUCUGGAAAGAAUACGACCACCUUCUUCUGAAGAUCUCAUCCUUCCCCACACAUAAGAUUUAAGGUUGGGCUGCUACUCGGUGAAUUUGACCCAGUUAUAGGAAAGUUAUAGGACUCUGUUUCUCUCAUCGGUGACUGAGCUGGUUAGAAUCCUUUCUGAGUCAGUUAGAGUCUUUUCCUAGGGUUUUAUAUGCAAAAGCUGGGUGAGAGAAAUCUCUCCUCCUCUGACUUAUAAUCCAGGAUUAUGUACAGUCAUCUGUCGGCUUAACAGCAGGGAUACAUUCUGAGACAUGUGGCGUUAGGCAAUUUCGUCACUGUGUGAACAUCAUAAAGUGUACUUACAAAACGGGAUGGUAUACCGUACUACACACCUAGGCUAUAUGGUACUAAUCUUAUGGGACCACUGUCGUCUACGCAGUCCAUUAUUGAUGGAAACGUCAUCAUGCAGCACCUGACUGUGGUGUUGGAGUUACUUCUUGUCAUAUACCACCCACCUGCUCUCAUGCUGGAAGCCAUCUGAAGUAGGAGAAAUUAGUCAAAACCCAGAGAGCAGAAAGAGAGUGAAAGAUCAGAGAGCAUGCUUUCCUUACCAGUUGUAUGAACCAAUCUACUUCCCCGCUUCCUCUCUUAUGUCAUUUUUUUUUCAUAAGCUAGUUUGGGUGGAGUCCUAACAUAUAAGCAGUGAUCCAUUAAAAGCUUAACUAUAAUUGUAAUGAGUAAUGCAGAAUUAGAAAGAGGUAACAUAAAUGAUUUGAUAUUGUGUAUGACCCUAUAUAAGCUAGAUGUAAGUUUCUCCAGAAAAAGAAAGCUUUUCAACUAUCUUAAGACCUAAUGGAAAUUUAAAAAAUGCGUAUUUUUUAAGCACUUCAUUAUAUAGAUGGGUAAAGUCGUGGAGGACCAGUGUAUCUCCCAUAGUCCAACAGCAAGUCACUAGGAUAUCUGAAACCCAGGUCUCAGCUUAUAACUCAGUGACCUUUCUCCUUUGUUGCUGUGGUGAUGAAUUUCAACGUCUGGGAAACUGUAUUGAUAUUGAAAUCUGCACAAUUGUCUGGACAAAAUAAAUAAUUAUAACAAUAAAUUCA